CGGGGUUGCUGUGCGCACGCGCCUCCUUCCGAAAGGGCGGGGCGGGUCCUGCCCACUCCUUGCGUCCUAUCCCCGCGCGUGCGCAGGGAGGCCCCCCCCCCCCCCACCUCGUCCUUCCAGAGCGGCGUGAGCGAGGCGGCGGUACCAUGGCUUUGGAGGCGAUCCGCUACUCCCGGGGCUCGCUGGAGAUCCUCGACCAGCUGCUGCUGCCCCAGCACAGCCGCUACGAGGCAGUGGGCUCGGUGCGCCAGGCCUGGGAGGCUAUCCGCGCCAUGAAGGUGCGCGGCGCCCCGGCCAUCGCGCUCGUGGGCUGUCUCAGCCUCGCCGUGGAGCUGCAGGCGGGUGCGGGGGGACCGGGCCUCGCCGCACUGGUGGCUUUCGUGCGCGACGCGCUGAGCUUCCUGGUCACCGCUCGGCCCACCGCGGUCAACGUGGCCCGCGCGGCCCGCCAGCUGGCCGACGCCGCAGCCUUGGAGGCCGAGCGCGAGGGCGCCACGGAAGAGACGGUCCGGGAGAGAGUGAUCUGCUGUGCCGAGGACAUGUUGGAGAAAGACCUCAAAGACAAUCGGAGCAUCGGGGACCUAGGAGCCCGCCACCUCCUGGAGCAGGUGGCUCCUGGGGGCGGCAAGGUGACCGUGUUGACCCACUGCAACACUGGUGCCCUGGCCACUGCUGGCUAUGGCACAGCCCUGGGGGUGAUCCGCUCGCUGCACACCCUGGGCCGUCUGGACCACGCCUUCUGCACGGAGACCCGGCCCUACAACCAGGGAGCCCGGCUGACUGCCUUCGAGCUGGUCUACGAGCAGAUCCCCGCCACGCUCAUCGCCGACAGCACGGCAGCAGCCGCCAUGGCCCACAGAGGGGUGUCAGGUCAGCGGGCGCGAUGCCGGUGGGCAGGGCUUCCAGGCGUCCGGGGCCAGGUGAGGACCCCAGCAUCUUGCUCCCCAGCCGUCAUCGUAGGAGCCGACCGCGUGGUUGCCAACGGUGACACAGCCAACAAGGUGGGCACCUACCAGCUGGCCAUCGCUGCCAAGCACCACGGCAUCCCCUUCUACGUGGCUGCCCCCAGCUCCUCGUGUGACCUCCAUCUGGAGACAGGCAGAGACAUCGUCAUCGAGGAGCGCCCAGGGCGGGAGCUGACCGACGUCAACGGGGUCAGGAUUGCAGCCCCCGGGAUUGGGGUUUGGAAUCCUGCCUUCGAUGUCACUCCCCACAACCUCAUCACCGGCGGCAUCAUCACAGAACUGGGGGUCUUUGCUCCUGAGGAGCUCCGGGCAGCCCUAAGCACCACCGUCUCCUGAGGGCGGGUACCCAGCUGGACCCCAGAAGUAACCGCGCUGACUCUCCAUAUCCUGCCCCCAUUCCCUUAGGUUUUGCAAAGCCCUCCGUAUCAUCUACGUCUGUGGGCGUCUGUCUCUUUAAUGCCUUGCCCCGUUGUGUCCCGUGAGCCUUUGCGCGCGCCCCGCCGGCCCCGCUGUAUCCCAUCGUGCUCUGCGUCUUCCGGCUGU